rnacentral:RNase_P_RNA from 1 species
CGAGUCGGCCGGGCGACCGCGGUGACGGGAACGGGCACUAUGGUGUCGCUGCCCGGUGCCGAGGAAAGUCCGGACUCCACAGAGCAGGGCGGUUGUUAACGGCAACCCGGGGCGACCCGCGGGACAGUGCCACAGAAAACAGACCGCCGCACAGCACGUGCGGUAAGGGUGAAACGGUGCGGUAAGAGCGCACCAGCGCCCCGGGUGACCGGGGCGGCUCGGUAAACCCCGCCCGGAGCAAGGUCGAAGGUCGCACCUCGCGGUGCGGCUGCGCAGGUGUUCGAGGGCUGCUCGCCCGAGCCUGCGGGUGGACCGCUCGAGGCACCCGGCGACGGUGUGUCCAGAUGGAUGGUCGCCCCCCGGUGCGAACCGGGGACAGGAUCCGGCUUACAGGCCGGCUCGUCCG